GAAGGGUGCAAGCGUUACUCGGAAUUACUGGGCGUAAAGCGUGCGUAGGUGGUUGUUUAAGUCUGUUGUGAAAGCCCUGGGCUCAACCUGGGAACUGCAGUGGAAACUGGACAACUAGAGUGUGGUAGAGGGUAGCGGAAUUCCCGGUGUAGCAGUGAAAUGCGUAGAGAUCGGGAGGAACAUCCAUGGCGAAGGCAGCUACCUGGACCAACACUGACACUGAGGCACGAAAGCGUGGGGAGCAAACAGGAUUAGAUACCCUGGUAGUCCACGCCCUAAACGAUGCGAACUGGAUGUUGGGUGCAAUUUGGCACGCAGUAUCGAAGCUAACGCGUUAAGUCCGCCGCCUGGGGAGUACGGUCGCAAGACUG
rnacentral:rRNA from 1 species